CCGCUUCAUCUUUUGACACUGUGUGUUGGGGACAUGUCCAUGAAGGACGUCACUGAGGUGGGGGAAGAAUGCGGCCUGUUGUCUGGGCCCAGAACACAAAGGCGGGUCUGUGCACACGUGGGCACUCCCGGCCCAGGCUGGAUCAGCUGCUCUUGCUUCCUCCUUUGCCAUCACAAUACAACCACAGAGAUACAGUUUGCCCUUCAACCCCCGCUCCAGGAACCAGGCAAUGGGAUUUCUGCCUACUGGGUGCCCGCUGAGCAGAGCCAGUAACUCCAGCCUCCCGGCCCACUUGGCUCCUGGGCAAUCUUGGAUUUGGCAGGGUAAAGGAGUCUCUGUGAGUUCGAGGCCAGCCUGGUCUACAGAAAGAGAGCUUUCUAUAGACCUUGAAGCCGUGCUCAGCAUGGGUCAACCUAGAGUCAGCCUUGAAGCAGUAAAGCCAUGUCACCAUACAUCAGCACCCAAGAUCGUUCAUUUGUUCAUCAACUGAGUACCUUCAGACACUUAGUACACUCGAUAAGUCAACCGAGAGACGAAAAUCCCUCCCACUGUGUGAGGUCUUCCUAAGAAUUACGUAAGUACCCCCCAAAGCCAAGAGGGCAGGAUCGGAGCCAGCCGUGGGACACGCUUCCUAUGAAGAACGCUGAGGAAGGGCUGACCUUGAGGAGAGCUAGCUUGCCAGUCCGUGGAAAGUUCCCAGCCUUGGGGCUUAAACAAAAACGUACUGGGGAUUGAACCCAGGGCCUUGGGUAUGCUAUGCCAAACACUCUACUAUGCUGGAAUGAAGCAUGCGGACGUGUUUGUAGUUGAAGUGACACGAAGUCGAAAGAAGUGGUGAUAGAAAGACGUAAACAGAUGAGACAAGAUCGACAGGAUGCCAGCAGUCACUCCGUGCCGACGGUGACUCCGACACAUCUGUUCUAUUAUAGUCUGUGUUUUUGUCAGGGCUUUUCUAAUGGAAAAAUUUAAAAGCACACACAAACACAGAACAAUAUUCAUGUUGCAAAAAUACAUUGAAAUUAAAGAUUAACAUUAAGAGAGCUAGAGAGA